UCCCAAAAUUAGCUCUAAAACCCAGCAAGAAGCAACUCUGUUUUCCAGCCGAAACUUAGCAAAAUCAGCCAUGAAUCACCUUUAAAUUCCAUCCCAAGCCCAGCCGUAAAUUGAGUCCAACAUAGCUAAAGCUUCUGAAUCAAGUCGAGGUUCUCUUUAGUUCGAAGUCGAGGUCGUUAGUCGAAGUUCCGGUCAAAAGUCCUGUCUUCAAUUCAGAGUAACGUGUGCUGUCGGAUUAUUCACUUGGAGCUUUGUUUGAUAAAUCAAAUACAGAAGAAAGUCAUUGAGGUUCAUCUUUUACUUUUUAUCUAUUUUCACCAUAGCAUGCACUAUUUCAUCUUCAAGCAGGUUCCUGCCUUGAUUCGCUGAUCGUGUGUUUAAAUGUUGGUUCAUAUUGAUUUGCUGGUAUUUAUUAGGAUUUCAUUUUUGUUUGUUUAUUUUUGUCUUGUUGAAAUAGCUCGUUAGCUUUCGUUUGAUUUCAUGAUUAGUUUGGAAGAGUGGAGGAUCUGUUUUGAUGAUAAAACCAUGAUAAAAUAUAAUUAAUAAAUUUGUUGAAAGAAUCUGCAUAUAUUAGAUUGUAGCAGUGAAGUUUUGAGAACAUCUGUUAGAGUAGUGAGUCAUCCGUUAGUUAGGAAAUUAGGCCAUUUGAUUCAAAAAUGUGAAAAUCAUUAAUUGAGCCAUUUUCUUUAACUAGUGGGUCUUAAGGCAAACGAACUUUCAUUGCGUCAGUUAGUUUAGCUGUACACUCAGUAUUAAAAAUGUAUAUGUGUUUUGAAUACACUAAUUAUUAAAUCAAAGAACUAAAAUACUUCACAUAUUAGUUUGGUAAAUUACUAAUAUACAUGCUUCUCCAAAUAAUUCCAUAAAUCAUGACCCAUACAAAAAUCUCAAAGUAAUUUAGGAAAAUAAUUUAUGAACAAUCGUAGUUUGAUUUAGGUGUGCUUUAAUCCAUUAUCGUGGUUAUGUAUACGUUCGCGUGACGUAACUAUAAUCCCAAAAUAAAUCAAGGUACGCGUCCGCGCAACUUUUAAUCAAAAACAAUCUUAAUAAUAAAUGUUAUUAAUUGUGUAUACGUACGCGUGACAUUGAUUUUGGCACAAUAAAAAAUGGAUUCACACACGUGAUUCGUUUCAAAGAUAAUUCCAUAUUUGAAUAAUUAAAAGUGGAUAGAUAAAAUAUGAAAAUCAAUAAAUCACAAUUUAUCCAAAAUUAAUUCAAGCCAAGUUGUAGUCAAUAAAGCGACCGUGCUAGAACCACGGGAUUCGGGGAAUGCCUUAUACCUUCUCCCCGGUCAACAGAAUUUCUUACCCGGACUUUAUUUUUGCAGACCAAUAAUAAUAGAGUCAAACCUUCCUUUGACUAGGGAUUCAAAUAAAAGGUGACUUGGAACACCAAAUAUCAAUUCCAAGUGGCGACUCUGAAUAACAAAAUAAUCCCUACUCAAUUUUGUCACUUUAAUUGGAAAAAUCCUUUAAUCCACAUUAUCUUUUUUUUUGGAUUAGAAAAAUGGGUGUGACAGCUCUGGCGACUCUGCUGGGGACUUCAAGAACUCGAGCUUGUACAUUGACUUUAUUUGGCUUUAUAAUUUUUGUAUUAUAUUGUGAUUUAUUUGAGUCUAAUGUGUUACUUAUCGAGUUUUUACC
rnacentral:lncRNA from 1 species